AUGGAUUUUAUCAUGGGAUUACCCAGGACUCGUUCAGGCUAUGAAUCGAUUUGGGUUGUAGUUGAUUGGUUGACGAAAGUAGCUCAUUUCAUCCCAAUAAAGACCACUUACACCAGUGCUAAGUUGCACGAAAAUUUGGGUACCAGGCUAGAGUUCAGCACAGCUUUUCAUCCGCAGACAGAUGGACAGACCGAGAGAGUCAAUCAGAUUUUGGAGGAUAUGCUGAGAGCCUGUGUGCUAGAUUAUGGAUCUAGUUGGGACGACAAUUUGCCAUAUGCAGAAUUCUCUUACAACAACAGCUAUCAAUCCAGUUUAAAGAUGGCCCCUUUCGAAGCCUUGUACGGAAGGAGGUGCAGGACACCGUUGUCGUGGGAUGAAGUUGGAGACCGCCAGUUGUUUGGGCUUGAUUUGAUUAAGGAGUCUGAACAGAAGGGUGAAGUUGAUUCACGAUAG
rnacentral:rRNA from 1 species